UAAUUUCACUUGGAGGUUUCUAUGUACUCGUAUCUAGUGGAAUAAACUUGGUUCCCGUUCUGGAAUUUCUUGGCAUAGCGUCACCAGCAAUUGCAGAGAAAGUAGCUACAGGAAGCUCCUUUGUUGUGGCCUACGCCGUACACAAAGUAUUUGCACCUGCUAGAAUUAGUAUUACGUUGGGUGCAAUACCGUUCAUCAUCCGAUAUUUGAGAUCAAAAGGAUUCCAGUUUUCAAAAAUCAAAAAAAUUAGCUAUUUUUAAAUAUUUGUUUUUAUACCAUUGUUAUCAGAAUUAAGUAUGAUGUUAUAUAAUCCUAUGAAGUUCAAUACUUUAUAAUUUGGUUGACCAAAUAAAAAGGUGACACUCAAAUUAAAA